AGAGUUUGAUUAUGGCUCAGGAUGAACGCUAGCUACAGGCUUAACACAUGCAAGUCGAGGGGCAGCAUAUCGGUAGCUUGCUACCGAUGAUGGCGACCGGCGCACGGGUGAGUAACGCGUAUCCAACCUUCCCCUUAGUAGGGCAUAGCCCGGCGAAAGUCGGAUUAAUACCCUAUGUUAUCCAGCGAUGGCAUCUGAAUUGGAUUAAAGGUUUACCGCUAAGGGAUGGGGAUGCGUCUGAUUAGGUUGUUGGCGGGUAACGGCCCACCAAGCCAUCGAUCAGUAGGGGUUCUGAGAGGAAGGUCCCCCACAUUGGAACUGAGACACGGUCCAAACUCCUACGGGAGGCAGCAGUGAGGAAUAUUGGUCAAUGGGCGAGAGCCUGAACCAGCCAAGUAGCGUGCAGGAAGACGGCCCUAUGGGUUGUAAACUGCUUUUAUACAGGGAUAAAGUCGGGGACGUGUCCCCGUUUGCAGGUACUGUAUGAAUAAGGACCGGCUAAUUCCGUGCCAGCAGCAGC
rnacentral:rRNA from 1 species